rnacentral:rRNA from 1 species
CGGCAAGAGCUCAAAUUUGAAAUCUGGCGCAAGCCCGAGUUGUAAUUUGGAGAGGAUGCCUCGGGGCAGCGGCCGGUCUAAGUUCCUUGGAACAGGACGUCACAGAGGGUGAGAAUCCCGUACGUGCCCGGUGGCCGCCCCCGUGUGAAGCUCCUUCGAC